AGUGAACGCUGGCGGUAGGCCUAACACAUGCAAGUCGAACGGCAGCACAGUAAGAGCUUGCUCUUACGGGUGGCGAGUGGCGGACGGGUGAGGAAUACAUCGUAAUCUACUUUUUCGUGGGGGAUAACGUAGGGAAACUUACGCUAAUACCGCAUACGACCUACGGGUGAAAGCAGGGGAUCUUCGGACCUUGCGCGAUUGAAUGAGCCGAUGUCGGAUUAGCUAGUUGGCGGGGUAAAGGCCCACCAAGGCGACGAUCCGUAGCUGGUCUGAGAGGAUGAUCAGCCACACUGGAACUGAGACACGGUCCAGACUCCUACGGGAGGCAGCAGUGGGGAAUAUUGGACAAUGGGCGGAAGCCUGAUCCAGCCAUACCGCGUGGGUGAAGAAGGCCUUCGGGUUGUAAAGCCCUUUUGUUGGGAAAGAAAAGCAGCAGGUUAAUACCCCGCUGUUCUGACGGUACCCAAAGAAUAAGCACCGGCUAACUUCGUG
rnacentral:rRNA from 1 species